CCGACAAAUCUUUCGUUAUCAUUUUAUAAUGAUUGGCUUACGCAAAAUAACCAUCCCAGAGAAACAUGGAACAUUCGUUGUGCACAUUUUUUUUUUUCUACAAACGGUUAACCUUUUCGUUAUCAACCUAUUACGGCCAUAUGUCAAAACGGUUAAUUAAAUUCAAUUAAAUUUGUCUCUAAUAAUAUUUCUAUUUCUCUUUAUUCCUAAUAUUUCGAUUUUUAAUUCAUAAUUUACUAAUCUAGAGAAUAUUGAAAAUAGUACUCGUCUGCAAAGGAUCAAUAUUCAAUUUCAAAUCAACUCUCAACUCGAUUUUUUGAUCGAAAAGACAACGAAAACAUUAACCGUUUCUUCCAGAAUAUUUUAAACGUAACAAGUUUCUCCAAGUGAUUCGAAAAGCGAGCAAAGCGAGAUUUUGGAAUGAAAAUCAAGCGGUACAUACGUACAAAAUGCGUCAAAUUGACGACAAAAGAGGACAAAGGAUGCAUCAGCCAUACAUGUUCGAGCAACGUGCUAAAAUGAUAUAAGACAUGCUGGAUACACCGAGAAGCGUGCAGUAAAUGGUAAACAAUUUAAAACCAACAGGCGCAUGCAGGUUGCAGAAGUGAGGAGAUCAGUAGGUCAGGAGCAGGGACAAACUCUUUUGCAAUUCUUUAUAUAAAUACUUCAAUCGAUACCUGAUUUGGAUCGAAUCUUCUCGAAUCUUUUCACAUUCUCGAUUUACGUGAAGAGAGAGAGAGAGUGGGGAGGGGAGGUGAAGAAAGGAGAGAGUGGGGAAGAAGGAGAGAGUGGUGGGAGGAAAGGAGAGUGGGGAAGAAAGGUGAGAGUGGAGGGGGAAGAGAAGAAAAGGUAAGAGAAUCGAAGAAUUAUCCUGAAUAUAAAUAUAUAUAUAUAUAUCGUCUGUUUGUUGAUUCUGCCUCCUUCCAUCAAGUUUUCUGGCCAAAAAUGAACCAUGUACCGCAUUACCUGUACAUGCACAAUACGAUGACGCAAUUCGUGCAUGAGUCAUCGCGUGGCUGCAAAACUUCUUCUUUCACGAUCCUCUCGCAGAUCUUGGCAGCUUCACUUACCUUGCGGUCGACGGUGGGCAUGAAUUCCAUCACGUGGGUGCUGUUAAUCGAUUAUUAUUCCUCGAAAAACCACACAGGGUGUUAAGGCGUAAAGGGAGAGUUCGGAUAUUUUGUACACGAUUCGAAAACAUUUGGCAUCUUCGAAAUUUGAAGAAAUGAGAAAAAUUAAACUUUUUAAUCAAUUUCGAAAAUUUAAUUUUUGGCACGAAGGCAAUAUUCCCUUUCGAAGAAGAUCGAUAUUGAUUUAAUUUUUUUUUUCUGAUUUUUCGAAACGAAUAAUCGUUUUCGAAUCGAAUCGAAUUUCGAGGAUAAUUAAAACAAUAAAGAAAAUCACUCGUGGCUUAAUUUUCCGAAACGAGUGAUUAUUUUUGAAAAUUCUCUGAAAUCGUAUCAAAAUAAUUGAAGUUGAACUUGCAACCAUUUGGAGAAUCAGAACAGGAUUACUAUCAUUUUCUUUUUUUUUUCUCUCUCGAUACACAGCAGGGAAAUUGGAAAGAUCAUGGGAACGAGCGGCUGGGCUGAUGCCGCGGGAAACAAAUAUUCGUGGAAUCGAAUCGAUCACAGAGCCGGCGACCGGCGAAAGAACCAUCCAUCUAGCAAUUUCACGAUAAGGCACCAAAUUGAUUCCCACGAGGUAUUCGAUGAGAUGACGAAUAACGGUGAGACAGAGGACGAGAAUCACAGUGAAAACACGCAUCAAUAACUAGCCGACUCAUCCUCUCUGGAUUUAGUGGAGGCUGAUAUAAUCGAUGGAUACCGCUUUCGAUACGUUCCAUCAUGCCUUCAUCAAUACUGCGCGAAUAUACACUUCGUUACUCUGUACAAUACAUCGCGAUGUCGUCCAUUUUAGUCAACCUACCGCCACCAUUCCCUUUUACAUCGCGUCCCACUCUGUUUGCUUUUCAUAUGAUUAUUACGCUCAUGCUACGAAUAUUUGCCGAAUAUCGAACCGAAUAUCGAGUUAUAGUUUUACUUUCUCGAUUUAUAACAGUUAUGCGUGACAAACGUGAACUUUUGUCAAAUUGGAAACGAAGAGGAACAAUCGUGCAACAAGAUACCGUUUUCAAUGAAAAAUAUUUACACGUUCUUUAAAAAAUAAAAAACAGAUCGUUCGAUUUUGAGAAGAAUUACACACAAAUUAUACAGAUAUAUACAAGAAUUUCGUAAGCUGCGAAAGAAAAGAUGCUUUCGCGUGAUAUUCUGCAUACAGACAAUUCACGACAGCGAGGGAUUUAUUAAAAAAGAUUGAAUUAAAAAGACGUGCAGAAAAUGGAUAUAAUAAUAGCUACAUACUACAUACGGAGGAGAAAAAAUUAAAAGGGAAACGGGACGAAUCUAAGAAUUGCUGUAUACUCCAUUUUCUAAGAGAAACUGAAGAGAAAUAUUUACAAAAGAUGUCCUUUUCGCAAGGAGCUGCGUUUAUCAGUAUCUACUACAAUGUCUACUUUCGUUAGAGAGUGCAGAGAGAUAUAUAUAUAUGUAUACAUGACAACAUGCUACCGGUGCUUUCCAAGUUCAUUCGGGAGGACUUCCUGGCCCCCCCGAACACUUGUAAGCGAGAAUAUACAGGAGGAGAGUACCUUGAAGUAACUAGAACCUCCAUAGGUGGCAAAUAUUUUCAUACUGUCUUUUAUAUCUUUGAAAAAAAUUGUCCAUCAUUGUUGCGUUAUUGCUUAUUCGAGAUAUAAAAAAAAA